CUGGGAAAUCUGGAUGAGGAACAGAUGUGGCAGUGUGAAUGCAAAAAAGGUGCAGAGCAAAAGGGAGAGAAGCACAUCACCCCAUGCAUGGAACCACUCAGCUUUACAAAGGAACAGCCACAGUCAGAAAUCUGCACACAACUAUGGGUUCUGCAGGGAACACAGCCUGUGUUAGGACAGAGCUCCAAGAAACCAACCACAGCAAGGAUGCUGGUUCCACCUCUUCGUGCAACUCAUCUCAACAUUUUGUUGUCCUCAAAGGAAGCACCAGAGGCUCCAUUUUAGCAAUACCACGAGCAAAGAACUCAAGCAGCAUAGCAGCUCUGAGCAGCACUCCUGUGAAGAGCUGGGCCAACACAAGGGUAGAAUGGCACAUGGAGUCAGAGAGGUGCUGGGCACAGCAUGUGGUGUGGUAGAUCAGCAAUAGCAACAGAGCUGCGCACAAGAGCUUACACCCUUCAUUUUUAUAUUUGGACACCUAGAAUUACUGAAUGUAUUAUUUUGUUCUAUUACAGGAAGACAGACAGCCCAGCUGAUGUCUUUUUGGAGAAUCUAUUUUGCUAAGAGGGUCAGCAAUGUACAGACUUAUUGAGAUGCUGGUAAAAAGUGUCCCCCACGAUCUCUUUGAAGCCCAAAGAAGCAAUGAUGACUCAAGACCCAAAGAAUGGCUCAGGCUCUGCUGCAAAAACAAAAGGGAUGAGAUCCAAUGAAAGCGCUUAGCAUGGGAAGAGGAUGGCAGAACAAGGUUAAAAAUAUACAAGUUCCAAUGUUUAAAUGCAUCUUUUUUGCUCCACUUCAGAACUUGUGCAUAUCUGUGUGUUUGCAUGAGACUUCCUGGCUGUUGAGCUGAAAACACCAAUACUGCUUUUCUUUUUAUCUGCUCAGUGAGAGUUCAGUAACCUUCCCAUCUGCACACAUUGGCUUUGGGAAAACUAUUUGCACAGAACUGAUUUUUGUGUUUUGGCGAUCAUACACCAGUGCUAAUGACAGUGGACCUAUCUGGAAUUUGCACUCUGGAUUAUUAUUAUUAAUAAAUGUUACUUUGGA